rnacentral:rRNA from 1 species
CGUUGGUGACCAGCGGAGGGUCAUUACCGAGUUUACAACUCCCAAACCCCUGUGAACAUACCACUUGUUGCCUCGGCGGAUCAGCCCGCUCCCGGUAAAACGGGACGGCCCGCCAGAGGACCCCUAAACUCUGUUUCUAUAUGUAACUUCUGAGUAAAACCAUAAAUAAAUCAAAACUUUCAACAACGGAUCUCUUGGUUCUGGCAUCGAUGAAGAACGCAGCAAAAUGCGAUAAGUAAUGUGAAUUGCAGAAUUCAGUGAAUCAUCGAAUCUUUGAACGCACAUUGCGCCCGCCAGUAUUCUGGCGGGCAUGCCUGUUCGAGCGUCAUUUCAACCCUCAAGCACAGCUUGGUGUUGGGACUCGCGUUAAUUCGCGUUCCUCAAAUUGAUUGGCGGUCACGUCGAGCUUCCAUAGCGUAGUAGUAAAACCCUCGUUACUGGUAAUCGUCGCGGCCACGCCGUUAAACCCCAACUUCUGAAUGUUGACCUCGGAUCAGGUAGGAAUACCCGCUGAACUUAAGCAUAUCAAUAAGCGGAGGAAAAGAAACCAACAGGGAUUGCCCUAGUAACGGCGAGUGAAGCGGCAACAGCUCAAAUUUGAAAUCUGGCUCUCGGGCCCGAGUUGUAAUUUGUAGAGGAUACUUUUGAUGCGGUGCCUUCCGAGUUCCCUGGAACGGGACGCCAUAGAGGGUGAGAGCCCCGUCUGGUUGGAUGCCAAAUCUCUGUAAAGUUCCUUCAACGAGUCGAGUAGUUUGGGAAUGCUGCUCUAAAUGGGAGGUAUAUGUCUUCUAAAGCUAAAUACCGGCCAGAGACCGAUAGCGCACAAGUAGAGUGAUCGAAAGAUGAAAAGCACUUUGAAAAGAGAGUUAAAAAGUACGUGAAAUUGUUGAAAGGGAAGCGUUUAUGACCAGACUUGGGCUUGGUUAAUCAUCUGGGGUUCUCCCCAGUGCACUUUUCCAGUCCAGGCCAGCAUCAGUUUUCCCCGGGGGAUAAAGGCGGCGGGAAUGUGGCUCUCUUCGGGGAGUGUUAUAGCCCACCGUGUAAUACCCUGGGGGGGACUGAGGUUCGCGCAUCUGCAAGGAUGCUGCG